rnacentral:rRNA from 1 species
UACGUAGGGGGCAAGCGUUGUCCGGAUUUAUUGGGCGUAAAGAGCGUGUAGGCGGCCAUGUAGGUCCGUUGUGAAAACUCGAGGCUCAACCUCGAGACGCCGAUGGAAACCAUGUGGCUAGAGUCCGGAAGAGGAGAGUGGAAUUCCUGGUGUAGCGGUGAAAUGCGCAGAUAUCAGGAAGAACACCCGUGGCUAAGGCGGCUCUCUAGUACGGUACUGACGCUGAGACGAGAAAGCGUGGGGAGCGAACAGG